UGGGUGAUCUGCCCUGCACUUUGGGAUAAGCCUGGGAAACUGGGUCUAAUACCGAAUACACCCUGCUGGUCGCAUGGCCUGGUGGGGGAAAGCUUUUGCGGUGUGGGAUGGGCCCGCGGCCUAUCAGCUUGUUGGUGAGGUAACGGCUCACCAAGGCAUCGACGGGUAGCCGGCCUGAGAGGGCGACCGGCCACACUGGGACUGAGACACGGCCCAGACUCCGUACGGGAGCA
rnacentral:rRNA from 1 species